rfam:Ovis aries breed Texel chromosome 6, whole genome shotgun sequence.
UGGCUCAGACGGUAAAGCGUCUGCCUACAAUGCAGGAGACCCAGGUUCAAUCCCUGG